rnacentral:rRNA from 1 species
AUUGAACGCUGGCGGCAGGCCUAACACAUGCAAGUCGAGCGAGCGGCGGACGGGUGAGUAAUGUCUGGGAAACUGCCUGAUGGAGGGGGAUAACUACUGGAACCGGUAGCUAAUACCGCAUACCAUCAGAUUUGCCCAGCUGGGAUUAGCUAGUAGGUGGGGUAAUGGCUCACCUAGGCGACGAUCCCUAGCUGGUCUGAUAGGAUGACCAGACACACUGGAACUGAGACACGGUCCAGACUCCGACGGGAGGCAGAAGUGGGGAAUAUUGCACAAUGGGGGCAAGCCUGAUGCAGCCAGGCCGGGUGUGUGAAGAAGGCCUUCGGGUUGUAAAGCACUUUCAGCGGGGAGGCGUUACCCGCAGAAGAAGCACCGGCUAACUCCGUGCCAGCAGCCGCGGUAAUUC